rnacentral:hammerhead_ribozyme from 1 species
ACCCAGGUGACGAGUCGCAAUUAAGACGGAACGUGCGUACUGGAU